AUGGAAUCCAACAUAAUGUGUAGAGUAGCUUUGUGGCCAGCAGCACAACUUAAAUGAAGAGAAAUAUAGGACAAAGUCUUAUAGAUUUUAUGGGGAGAUUUGAACAUUUAUUUUUGUUUAAAUGUAUUGGGGUUUCCCUUUUUUACACAGGCAAAGCAGUUCAACUACUGCACAUCUGAUUUUAUUAUGAUAAAUUGCUCAUUGUCUCAGAAACAAUGUAAUUUUUUCCUCUUAUUUUCUCUCCCAAAACAAUUAUUGAUAAUUAAAAUACACCCUUAUUUAGUUUUUUUUUUCCAACCUGUUUAACCUCCGGCUCAUGGAACAAGUACUAAUAACCCACUAGUAAAUCACAUACUAAAUCCCCUGAAACCCGUGUUCUGAUGAUUACAUAUGGGGUGACACCAACUAGAUAAUAAAAAGCUGAAUCCUUCAGAGGUCAGUUUAAAUUCAACUACUGAACAAGCUACUGAAGCUCGGCAGCCAACCAACCAAAACCACUUACAGCAACAAUAUCACAGGGGGGAGUCCCCAAUGGCACCCAUUUUCUAACACAGUGCACUUCUUUAGACCUGAUCUGGUUUUAAAAAAAAGUAGUGCAGUAUGUAGGGAAUAGUGUUCCAUUUGUGACUCAGACAUAAAACGGCCCAGUAGAGGAGUUGGAGGCGGGUCUGUCUAGGAAUGGCCCAGUAGAGGAGUUGGAGGUGGGUCUGACUAGGAACGGCCCAGUAGAGGAGUUGGAGGCGGUUCUGACAAGGAACGGCCCAGUAGAAGAGUUGGAAGCGGGUCUGUCUAGGAACGGCCCAGCAGAGGAGUUGGAGGCGGGUCUGUCUAGGAAUGGCCCAGUAGAGGAGUUGGAGGUGGGUCUGACUAGGAACGGCCCAGUAGAGGAGUUGGAGGUGGGUCUGACUAGGAACGGCCCAGUAGAGGAGUUGGAGGUGGGUCUGACUAGGAACGGCCCAGUAGAGGAGUUGGAGGCGGUUCUGUCUAGGAAUGGCCCAGUAGAGGAGUUGGAGGCGGUUCUGUCUAGGAAUGGCCCAGUAGAGGAGUUGGAAGCGGUUCUGACAAGGAACGGCCCAGUAGAGGAGUUGGAGGCGGUUCUGACAAGGAACGGCCCAGUAGAAGAGUUGGAAGCGGGUCUGUCUAGGAACGGCCCAGUAGAGGAGUUGGAGGUGGGUCUGACUAGGAACGGCACAGUAGAGGAGUUGGAGGCGGUUCUGUCUAGGAAUGGCCCAGUAGAGGAAUUGGAGGCGGUUCUGUCUAGGAAUGGCCCAGUAGAGGAGUUGGAAGCGGUUCUGACAAGGAACGGCCCAGUAGAAGAGUUGGAAGCGGGUCUGUCUAGGAACGGCCCAGCAGAGGAGUUGGAGGCGGGUCUGUCUAGGAAUGGCCCAG
ensembl:lncRNA